UAUUGAACAACGCAAAAUUCAACACACCUACUAUAAAGCAUUUUCUUUGGAGAGACCCGCCGCCCACCGGUGGUGCGAGGUUUCCAUGAGCACGAAAACCGUCUGUAGAGUGGAGAGCAGCAAUUUGGCCGAUCUUGGGUGCGGUUUCCUCCGCUUUCGAGCACAUGGGGGAGAGCGCAAUGAUUGACCGUACAU
rnacentral:sRNA from 1 species